rnacentral:rRNA from 1 species
AGCCCUAAGUGGGUGGUAAACUCCAUUUAAGGCUAAAUAUGACCACGAGACCGAUAGCGAACAAGUACCGUGAGGGAAAGUUGAAAAGCACUUUGAAGAGAGAGUUCAAGAGUACGUGAAACCGUUUAGGGGUAAACCUGAGAAACCCGAAAGGUCGAAGGGAGAAAUUCAUUCGCGUUUCGUCAUUGGCGUGCGACGAUCGAGUGACGAAGAGAGCGUUCGCGCGCGUUCUUCGCGCCUUUCGUCGUUCGAUCCGACGACGAACGCGUGCACUUUUCUCCUGGUAGGACGUCGCGAUCCGUUGGGUGUCGGUCUAAGGUACGCGAUGGAGCCCGUAGGUGUGCGGUUUCCGCCGCCACUUGCGGACUCGCGUUUCCCGGCCGACUCGCUCGACGGUAUACGAAAGGUUUAAGGCCGCUCACUAGUAGAGCGUUCGACUCGUAGCAAGCGCGCCAUUUGUCGUCGGCGAUCGGACCUAGUGCCGAUUCCGUCCUUUGGUGACUGUUGGUUACGAAGUUCUCGAACAGACCUUUUCUAAACCGAUCUGCGACGCUAUAGCUUUGGGUACUUUCAG